GACGAACGCUGGCGGUGUGCUUCACACAUGCAAGUCGAACGAGGUAGCAAUACCUAGUGGCGGACGGGUGAGUAACGCGUGGGAAUCUGCCUUUAGAUGGGGGAUAACGGGUCGAAAGACUCGCUAAUACCGCAUAUGACGAAAGUUGAAAGGAGUAAUCCGUCUAAAGAUGAGCCCGCGUCCGAUUAGCUAGUUGGUAGAGUAAAAGCCUACCAAGGCGACGAUCGGUAGCUGGUCUGAGAGGAUGAUCAGCCACAAUGGGAACUAGAGACACGGCCCAUAC
rnacentral:rRNA from 1 species